CCCUUCUCGGGAUUGCAUCUGGAGAAUUUCCAGUACUCUACCAACCUUGACUACAGGAGGGAGAGUCGAGCAGAGGCCUACCCAUUCCAUUCCUAGCUUGGGCAGUGGCUAGCGAGUGGAAGGCAAUCUGCUAUAAGU